GGCUCUGGCAGGAGAGCUCUGACACAGCCCUGCUGUCGGCACGGCCGGGGAGUGUGCGCUCGCUGACGCCUCCUGAGAUCCCAGCCCGCUCCAAAAAAAGGGGGAAACGGCCAAUUUUUAUUUCCUCAGGGAACAAUGAGAAAAUUUCUCUUUCUGAGCCUAUCUCCUUCUGAAACGAGCUCCAGGAAUGGUCACAACCUGCCAUAAAAAUGCCAUGUGCAAGAGAAUAUAUUUAAUAUCAGGCAAGCAGAAUGGAACGAUACGAUCUGUUUGGGGUUUGAAGCACCAAGGUUCUGACUCUGCUCCUUGGGAACCCUCCUGCUCCCCUGUGUAGGGUAGGGCUCAUCCACAUCACAGAGAUUUCCAAAAUCACAGAGAUUUCCAAAAAUCUCCCUCAAAGCUGAAAAUAAAUCUCAAGAAAUCACUUUGAAAACUGAAGAUGAAUCUCCAAAUACCUCUUCCAAACCUGAAGAUCAGCUCCAGCUCCAUCUCCAACCACCUGAGUGAUGGGCUGGUGUUGGAAGUGCCUGGAAAACCUCUUC